AUCCAUCUCACAAGUCCUAAAUAGGACGAAACACGCGUCCUGGAU
rnacentral:hammerhead_ribozyme from 1 species